CGACCCCGGGGGGGGGGGCCCCCCGUUUAAUUUAACCUUUUC
rnacentral:rRNA from 1 species